rnacentral:lncRNA from 10 species
CUGCUUUGGUGAGUUGGAAAUGUCCCACCUUGUGGGAAACGUGUCUAAGCAUUUCUCUUCCCGAUUUUGUACUUAGCAAGGGAGAAACUUCUUGAUGUCAGGCUGUAGUUUCUGUCUCCCUUCGUCCUCCUCCAUCUCCCCACCUAGAGUUAACACAAGAUGGGAACAAAAGAAAAACAGUGAAUGCCAAAGAAAGACCAGAAGUAAGUACAUGAGACAAAAAUCCAAGGCAGGAAAAACACUGAAAUAAUAAUAGCACGAAACAAUGGAGAAUUAAAGAAGAAUGGCAAAUAUGACUGAGUCCUCUAAACAGUUGGCUAUAGCUCCACAAUGGAAAGUCCUGCUAGGGUCUUUGAUUCUGUCCCCUAAACCAUCCCAGAUAGUUAUGUAGCAUGUGGCCUCAAAGGAGGGAGAUUUUCAUCCUUGUCCUAAGGAACAUGUUUCUGGGCUUCCCUUAUCUCCCUAAUCUAAUCUUACCUCAAAGCCUGCUGCCACCAUUCAGUUAUUCUUUUUACCCCUACUCGAUAUACAAAAUAAUUAUUAUUUGUGAUAUAAAAGUUCUUUUAAGCCCAAGACAGUGACUAAGUUACAUCUCAAAUAUUUUCUAAUCAAGAUAUUCUUAUUUUCAAGUACAAUAUUCCUAGGCCUCUGGUCUGGGUCUCUGUACAGACAACAUAGCCGUCACUAUGUAGCAAAUAAUAAAAUUAAUGUGACUUGCAAUAUUAAUCAACUAUUAGACAAAAGUUCAUGAGGCGUUGUGCCAUUUUUCAUGUUAGCAAUAGCUUUUAGCAUUUUGUUUCUUUAUUCCUAAAAUAUGGAAAAAUUCUUUGUCAUAGUUGCAUUUCAAAAUGACCCAAAUACUCCUGCCAAAAUAAACAACCCUAGGUUUAUUUUCAUUAUAAGUUUCCCUCUCUUUACUGCCCAUUGGCUUCAUUUUUUAACCUUGUUUUGCCUUUUUUCCCCUCUGAAAACCGAAAAUUUAAAUUUUCUGGUUUUAAAUUUUUUUAUGUCUUAUUGGAGUUUUAGCUGACUGUAGUCUUUUUCAUGUCAGUAUUAUUCAAGUUUCGGAAAAGUCUCUUUACCAUCUAUUAACAACUAAAUAAUUAUAAAUUGUUGGCCAAAAAAAAGAGAAAGAAGAAAAGAAAAAGAAAGAAAGGAAGAAAGAAAGAAAGAGAAGGAAGGAAGGAAAGAAAGAAAGAAAGAAAGGAAAGAAAGGAAGAGUAGUGGGGGAAAAGAAUAAAAUUUGCCUGCACCUUUUUGUUGUUUUUUUUUUUCUCUUCUCUUUUUAUUUUUUAAUUUUGCCUACACCUUUUAAAGCAAAACAAUUACAUUUUUUCUUUUAGUUUUAUAAACUAAUGAAAUUAAUCUGUUCCAACUCAAUCAGUUGUUUCAUACUGGAAAAUGUCACACAUCGGGGCUUUUAGGAAGGAAUCAUUGCCGUGCCUUGGUGAAGGGUGAGUAUGGCUUUAACAACUGCUGGUGGAGGAGCCUUGGAGGAAAGAACAGGAUAGUAAAUGCAAUUGCUUGUCUCCUGAGAGUUAACUCACAGUCCAGAUGUCCUACCACCUAUCUACCUGUAGUCUGAAGGCACUUUGUGAGUAAUAAAAGCAUGUAAAUUGUAAAUUCUUCUCCUUUUCUCUUUCAAUAUCUUACAAUGUAUCAAUGACAAUUGCUAUUGUUAUUGGUAACAGGUUGAUGUCAUACCGAAGGCUUUGGAGCCAAAAAAGCUUGUGUUUGAACUCCGGCCCCACCAUUGUAUGGUCUUAGACAAAUGACUUAACCUCUUUAAGCCUUGAUGUCCAUACUGUAAAAAACGAGACAAUAAAACCUACUUAUUGUAAGGAUAUAAUGACAUUAUUAACAUAUCUAUUCUAUUGCCUGAUGCAUAGCAUAAGCUCAAAAAUACUAGUUUUCCUAUUCUAAAAUGUUUAAAAAAAAUUAUAAUCCAUACCUCUUCUACUUCAGAAAGUGUUUUAAUACAUAAAAGCAGUGAUUUAGCAAUAUCAAAUCGAAGUUUGAGAGCCAGAAGAACUUGGAGGACCAUUGAUUUUAAAGGUUUCUUUGUUUUUUAUGAACAACAGGAAUUUCCUCUUAUGUCUUCAGAACCUUGAGUUUACCAGGAAGACAAGGUGACUGAGAUACUUCUUUAAGCCCAGAAACUGAAGAAGGCAGCUGUCAGGGAUGGCUUGGAAUGUUCUACAAGUAACUAAAAAAGUUUCCAGCUCUCCUGUCACAAAGUGGCUAUUGAGACUUCAAAUGUCAGAUGAUCUCCUUUGAAGCAGCAAAAUAGAGUGGAUAGAACUCCAGGAUGGAUGUCAAAAAACUCUGUGAUCCUAGUUCUAACUCAAAUUUACCUUUCAUAUGGUAUGAGGUAAGCUUUAGAUAUCUCUGGAUUUGAAGUUAUUUUUGACUCCUAUUUUUCUCACACACUGGUGUGUGUCCAUAUCUAGCCCAACAGCAAAACUUGGUGGUGCUAUAUUCAAACUGUAUCCAGAAUCUGACCACUACUCACCACUGCCACUGCUACCACCUUCAUCCAAACCAUCAUUGUCUCUCCUCCGGAUAAUGGAAGAAGCCUCCUAAUGAGUCCAUCUGCCUGCUUCUCCCUUUCCUUCUCUGCACAUCAGUAAUUCCAGAGUUUGUCAGUGACACUUUCAUAAUUGACUUGUUCUUCACUUGGUAAUCUUAAUUUGUUCCUAAAAAUCCUCCCACAAAGUAAAAUGCCAUUAUGUGAAAAAGCGUUUUUAUGAAUUUGAAUUUAAAAAUUUAGGAAGCAUUUUAUCCCAACCCAACAUACCCAAAGCAUUUUUAUAGAUAGGAAAAUAUUUUAACUGAAC